CUUCCAGGGAAGAUGGUGGAGUAGGAGGAUCCUAAGCUCACCCCAUCUCACAUAUACAACUAGAUAACAUUCACAUUGGUGUAAAUAACCCAGAAGACAACCCAAAGACUGGAAGAACAAACUCUACAACUAAAUGUAGAGAAGAGGCCACAUCAAAAAGGGAGUUCUCAGAAGGUUAAAGCUCAGAUGGAACCUAUUUGCAAAAUACCCACAGUCCCUGCCAAGGUGCUCAAGAAUGUCUCUGCAGCCCUUGCCUAAGCAGGUUUUUCAACCAAGCAAAAGCAUCUGCAUGUUGACUUCAGAGUGUUAACUAAGGUCACAUGUAGGUCGCCUCAGGCCAGCCCCGCUCUGCUGUUCCCGCCGGACUUGAGGAGACUUGGCAGGUGAGGACCUGGUCCUGACGUCAGAUUCUGG